rnacentral:rRNA from 1 species
CCUACGGGAGGCAGCAGUGGGGAAUAUUGCGCAAUGGGCGAAAGCCUGACGCAGCCAUGCCGCGUGUGUGAAGAAGGCCUUAGGGUUGUAAAGCACUUUCAAUUGGGAGGAAGGGGUUAAAGUUAAUAGCUUUGACUUUUGACGUUACCUUUAGAAGAAGCACCGGCUAACUCCGUGCCAGCAGCCGCGGUAAUACGGAGGGUGCGAGCGUUAAUCGGAAUUACUGGGCGUAAAGCGCGCGUAGGCGGUUUGUUAAGUCGGAUGUGAAAGCCCCGGGCUCAACCUGGGAACUGCACCCGAUACUGGCCGACUUGAGUGCGAGAGAGGGAGGUAGAAUUCCAUGUGUAGCGGUGAAAUGCGUAGAUAUAUGGAGGAAUACCGGUGGCGAAGGCGGCCUCCUGGCUCGACACUGACGCUGAGGUGCGAAAGCGUGGGUAGCAAACAGGAUUAGAUACCCUGGUAGUCCACGCCGUAAACGAUGUCUACUAGCCGUUGGGGAACUUGAUUCUUUAGUGGCGCAGCUAACGCACUAAGUAGACCGCCUGGGGAGUACGGCCGCAAGGUUAAAACUCAAAGGAAUUGACGGA